rnacentral:rRNA from 1 species
UACGUAGGGAGCAAGCGUUGUCCGGAAUCAUUGGGCGUAAAGCGCGCGUAGGCGGCCCGGUAAGUCCGUUGUAAAAGUCGAAGGCUCAACCUUCGAAAGCCGAUGGAUACUGCCGGGCUAGAGUUCGGAAGAGGCGAGUGGAAUUCCCGGUGUAGCGGUGGAAUGCGCAGAUAUCGGGAGGAACACCCGUAGCGAAGGCGGUUCUCUGGGCCAAUACUGACGCUGAGGAGCGAAAGCGUGGGGAGCAAACAGGG